AUUAGAUGAAUCAAGUUAGUAUUUAGCUUAAAAUGCUAAUUAAUAUAAAAAAACUGCUGUGAGAUUAACAAGUAAGUAGUAUGUGGGGGUUGGGAGGUACACAUAUUUGUGAUUUGUAAUUUUUUUCACAGAAACACCCAAUUCUUGGGGCACCUGGCUGGCUCAGUCGGUAGGGCAUGUGACUCUUGAGAUCUCAAGGUGGUGAGUUCAAGCCCAGCUUUGGGUGUGGAGCCUACUUAAACAAAGAAAGAAAAAAAAAAGAAAAGAAGAGAAAAGAAAAAAGAAGAAAAGAAACACCCUAUUCUUUUCCCCCCUGGGCAGGAGCUCCCUCUGUAGUGCUUUACAGGGAUUGCAGUUUUCACGAGAUAUUGCCAAGAAAAAGAGGGUAACGCUCCGACCUCCAGCAGACUGAACUAACACAAAAGUCACUGGCAUGCAGGGCAAGCAUACAAAUGGAGGCACAUUCCAAGCGUCUAAGUAUUUAAAAACUAUAAAUCAAGCUAACAACUGGUAAGUAAAAUUUGCUUUAUCUUUCCACAUUGAUAAAUAAACCCUCAUAAUGACAAAAAAAAAAAUAAAACAUGUUUCAAGCAAUAGCUUUUAUGUGACAGAAAGUUGGUG
rnacentral:lncRNA from 1 species